AGCAAAAUUCUGCAAUGAGAAUCAGUCCAUCUUCAAGAGCUUCACUAGAUGGAAUGAAGUUCAAACACCUGGACUUUGUUGCACCCCAAGGUUUCCAGAUAACCUGAAAUUUUCUAGGACCAGAUCUGAAGAGAGGCAAGAGAGUUCUGCUUCUACUUUUUUGCUAGAACAAGCAGAGUUGAAGGAAUUCCAGAAAGGCUCAGGAAAGUUCCUAGACCAAAAGAGAAAAUUACUUUUUACAAUAAGAUACUGCAGCUCUGGAAAAAACAUGCUGAAAAUAGUCCUGUGCUUUUGCUGUGUGCUUUUUGUUUGUUCCCGUGCUGAAUAAAAGCCUGCAGACCAAGUUACCCUAUAAUUCUGGAUAAUUGGGUUAUUCAUUUUAAAACCCUUGGAUGGUGGGAGGAAAUAAUCGCUGUGCCUGUAUGAAUUGGAAAGGUGCCAUUCCGUUGAAACCAAGGUGAGACAAUUUGUUUCUGGAAUGCUAGGGAGAACUGAACUGCUUCAGARUGAAUGCCUUUUUGAGAUAAAACUAGACUAAACAGCUUUAAGCUUCCCUUUACUUGCUGGUGCCUG